rnacentral:rRNA from 1 species
GACGUAGGGCGCGAGCGUUGUCCGGAUUUAUUGGGCGUAAAGAGCUCGUAGGCGGCUUGUCGCGUCGUCCGUGAAAACUUGUGGCUUAACCACAGGCUGGCGGUCGAUACGGGCAGGCUGGAGUUCGGUAGGGGAGACUGGAAUUCCUGGUGUAGCGGUGAAAUGCGCAGAUAUCAGGAGGAACACCAAUAGCGAAGGCAGCUCGCUGGGACGUUACUGACACUGAGGCGCGAAAGCGUGGGGAGCGAACAGG